ACCAGACUCCUACGGGAGGCAGCAGUAGGGAAUAUUGCUCAAUGGGGGGAACCCUGAUCCAGCGACGCCGCGUGAGUGAAGAAGUAUUUCGGUAUGUAAAGCUCUAUCAGCAGGGAAGAAAGAAAUGACGGUACCUGACUAAGAAGCCCCGGCUAACUACGUGCCAGCAGCCGCGGUAAUACGUAGGGAGCAAGCGUUAUCCGGAUUUACUGGGUGUAAAGGGAGCGUAGACGGCGAUGCAAGUCUGAAGUGAAAGCCCGGGGCCCAACCCCGGGACUGCUCUUGGAACUGCGCGGCUGGAGUGCAGGAGGGGCAGGCGGAAUUCCUGGUGUAGCGGUGAAAUGCGUAGAUAUCAGGAGGAACACCGGUGGCGAAGGCGGCCUGCUGGACUGCGACUGACGUUGAGGCCCGAAAGCGUGGGGAGCAAACAGGAUUAGAUACCCGAGUACA
rnacentral:rRNA from 1 species